UACGUAGGUGGCAAGCGUUUGUCCGGAUUUACUGGGCGUAAAGAGCGCGCAGGCGUCGUGCAAGUCGCGUGUGAAAGCCCCCGGCUCAACUGGGGAGGGUCACGCGAUACUGCUCGACUUGAAGGCAGGAGAGGGAAGUGGAAUUCCCGGUGUAGUGGUGAAAUGCGUAGAUAAUCGGGAGGAACACCAGUGGCGAAGGCGACUUCCUGGCCUGUUCUUGACUGCUGACGGCGACGGAAAGCUAAGGGUAGCAACGGG
rnacentral:rRNA from 1 species